rnacentral:rRNA from 1 species
UACGGAGGGUGCAAGCGUUAUCCGGAUUCACUGGGUUUAAAGGGUGCGUAGGCGGGCAGGUAAGUCAGAGGUGAAAUCUCCGGGCUUAACCCGGAAACUGCCUUUGAUACUAUCUGUCUUGAAUAUGGUGGAGGUAAGCGGAAUAUGUCAUGUAGCGGUGAAAUGCUUAGAGAUGACAUAGAACACCCAUUGCGAAGGCAGCUUACUACGCCUAUAUUGACGCUGAGGCACGAAAGCGUGGGGAGUCAAACAGG